rnacentral:rRNA from 1 species
UAGGACUGUAAUGAAAGGGGACUGCGGACGAUCUUUACUGAUUUGCUUUAUUGCACCACAUGAGUUUUUUAUUGAUCCAAUUUCUUUGGUGGCGGGAGCAAUCCUACCGCCAGAGGUUAUUCUAAACCAAACUUUUUAUUUACAGUCAAACUUGAUUUAUUAUUACGGUAAGCAAACUUUCAACACGGAUCUCUUGGUUCUCGCUUUCGACGCAGAACGCAGCGAAAUGCGAUACGUAAUAUGCCAAUUUGCAGAUAUUCGUGAAUCAUCGAAUCUUUGAACGCCCAUUGCGGCCCUUUGGGAUUCCAAAGGGGAUGCCCGGUUGAGCGUCUUUUCUCCCUCCAAACCCCCGGGGUUGGGGGUUAGCAUACCCUAGGAAACAAAACUUUUUUUAAAUGCCAACCUUGGAAAAAAAAGGGCUUUUGGUUUUUUCCUUUUAAAAAAAAACAAAACCCCGGGGGGGGAAAAAAAAAAAUAAAAUGGGGGUUUGGCCCCCCGCGGC